CAUACAUCCAACGCCAUGAACCAAGUCCACUCAAGUAAGCUACAAGUGAACGCGCUUCAAUAACCAUUUCGUAUCUCCGGCGUCGCAUCUGCGUUUCAAGCUCUGAAUCCACACGCGGCGAACCAUACGACGGUCAACGCUCAUCAAAUCACGUUUCAAAUUCGUCAUCACUAACUCCCUUUAAGACUGUGACCACACAUACAUGAAAAUGGAAAAACAACAUUGAGAAUCGAUUGAAGAACUCACCGGACCGAAGUCGCGAUGUAGUGGCUUGACGAAAACGAAGUCGACAAAAAGAGCUCAGAGCUUUCCUCCUCUUCUUCGCGCAAGUGUUUUCUUCUUCGAGCAUGAAUUCAACACGAAAACCAGAUGAAGAAAAAGGGCUCCAAAUCGCGUCAAUCGUAACGAAUUUUUUACGCACCAGGGAACAUAUGUGUAUAGAAUGCUAGACUACAUCAUGCAUAUUAGCUUCUUGUGAACAAAUAGAUUCUUUGAAGGCAUAUGAAGUCAAGGCAAGAUGAUGGCAAUAUUGAAUCAUAAUGAGGCUGUACUCUAAAGGGAGUAUAUCUUAGGGAAGGGUUUUGACCUUGGUCAACUUGUGUGUUUAAAGGAAAAAUUUGUGUAAUACUUGACGAUGCAAUUGCAAUUAUAUAUGGAUGUGAUGGACUUGAAACAUAUAUUGAGAUGGUCUCUUUCGGAAAAAGCUUGAAAUUGAAAUGGAAAAUGUUUGGAUUAAUGGUUGUAAUAGAAAUGGAUUGAUGAAAUUGUAUUGAAUAUUGUAAUGUGGUUGAAUGUAAAUGAAUGUAAAUGAUUGGAAUAUUGUAAUGUGAAUUGAAGAUGAAUGUAAUUGUAAUGGAGAUGUGUAAUUUUAUUAUAUGGAAAUUGAAUUGACUUUGAA